AAUCUAUUUCCUAAGGCUGUGAUGAGAUUUAAAGGACAGAAGGUUUAAAUCUAUUAUUAUUAGUAGUAGUAGUAGCUAUUAUUGUGAUUAUGGUUACAGUAAAUUCUUAGAAAACAUAGUGGAGCCUUUUAGUAACAGUAACUGUUAUUUAUGGGGCACUCUUUACUGUGAUACAUUUAUUAAUUUAUGGUUUAAUUUUCAUAUAUACAUUUUCCCAAUUUUUUACCC
rnacentral:lncRNA from 1 species